UGGGGGCACCUGAUCAGCCAUGCCGCGUGUCUGAAGAAGGCCUUCGGGUUGUAAAGGACUUUUGUCCGGGAAGAAAAGCGCGAUGUUAAUACCAUUGCGUGCUGACGGUACCGGAAGAAUAAGCACCGGCUAACUACGUGCCAGCAGCCGCGGUAAUACGUAGGGUGCGAGCGUUAAUCGGAAUUACUGGGCGUAAAGCGGGCGCAGACGGUUACUUAAGCAGGAUGUGAAAUCCCCGGGCUCAACCUGGGAAUUGCGUUCUGAACUGGGUGGCUAGAGUGUGUCAGAGGGGGGUAGAAUUCCACGUGUAGCAGUGAAAUGCGUAGAGAUGUGGAGGAAUACCGAUGGCGAAGGCAGCCCCCUGGGAUAGCACUGACGUUCAUGCCCGAAAGCGUGGGUAGCAAACAGGAUUAGAUACCCUGGUAGUCCACGCCCUAAACGAUGUCGAUUAGCUGUUGGGCAACUUGAUUGCUUGGUAGCGAAGCUAACGCGUGAAAUCGACCGCCUGGGGAGUACGGUCGCAAGAUUAAAACUCAAAGGAAUUGACGGGGACCCGCACAAGCGGUGGAUGAUGUGGAUUAAUUCGAUGCAACGCGAAGAACCUUACCUGGUCUUGACAUGUACGGAACCUUCCGGAGACGGAAGGGUGCCUUCGGGAGCCGUAACACAGGUGCUGCAUGGCUGUCGUCAGCUCGUGUCGUGAGAUGUUGGGUUAAGUCCCGCAACGAGCGCAACCCUUGUCAUUAGUUGCCAUCAUUUAGUUGGGCACUCUAAUGAGACUGCCGGUGACAAGCCGGAGGAAGGUGGGGAUGACGUCAAGUCCUCAUGGCCCUUAUGACCAGGGCUUCACACGUCAUACAAUGGUCGGUACAGAGGGUAGCCAAGCCGCGAGGUGGAGCCAAUCCCAAAAAACCGAUCGUAGUCCGGAUUGCACUCUGCAACUCGAGUGCAUGAAGUCGGAAUCGCUAGUAAUCGCAGUCAGCAUACUGCGGUGAUACGUUCCCGGGCCUUGUACACACCGCCC
rnacentral:rRNA from 1 species